rnacentral:misc_RNA from 1 species
GAUGAAGAACGCAGCGAAAUGCGAUAAGUAAUGUGAAUUGCAGAAUUCAGUGAAUCAUCGAAUCUUUGAACGCACAUUGCGCCCGCCAGUAUUCUGGCGGGCAUGCCUGUUCGAGCGUCAUUACAACCCUCAAGCCCCCGGGCUUGGUGUUGGGGAUCGGCGUGCCCUCGCGGCGCGCCGUCCCCUAAAUCUAGUGGCGGUCUCGCUGUAGCUUCCUCUGCGUAGUAGCAACACUCGCACUGGAUCGCAGCGCGGCCACGCCGUUAAACCCCCCACUUCUGAAAGUUUGACCUCGGAUCAGGUAGGAAUACCCGCUGAACUUAAGCAUAUCAAUAAGCGGAGGA